rnacentral:lncRNA from 1 species
CUCACAUGCCACCUUGGGAGGCAGAGAAACACAGAUAAUCAGGUAAGUGGUGAGAACAUGGUAAAGCCUCCACAUCCAGGUGACAUCCCCCUUCAUGUUUUGGCUUUCAAUUCUCAGUCAGUCUGUCCUUUUGGAAUUUGGGGAUAACAAAAUGGUAUGCAACGGUACCAAAGAAGCUCGAUUUAGGAUAUGUUCUCCCAUGUAGAUCCCCUUGUUUGUAAAGUAUUAAGGAAUGUGUUCAACUCCGGAUAAUUUUUUUUUCAUAAUUUUGACCUACUUCUCAUGGAGAGAGGAGGAUGACAUUUUUUGAAUGUUGGGAUCUCAUACUUUGAUGCUUACUAUUCCAUGGCAAAUAGUUACAGGAGGACAACACAGGCCCCGAGGGCUUUAUGGGACUCUUCCUUUCCCAUGACAGGGGAUGCCCAAUUGACAGAGCCUUUCUUAGGGAAAAAGAAGGAUUCUAUGAUAUACAAAAAGGCUGUCCUCCCCAGGAUGGGUUCACAAAGGGCUAUCCCUCUAGCAGAUAUUCCAAAGAUCUCACCUCAGAGACAAUUUACCAAUGUGGAUAGGGUGAGAUAUUCAUUUUUACCUUGGUGCCCACCACAUUCCAAAUUUCCUUCAUGGUAUCAUUUAUGGCACUUACUGAACCUCACUGCAGAAUCACUGAGGAAAAAAAGCUCUACACAUUAGGAUGAUACAGGGUAAGGCCAGGUGUUUAAAGAACCUAAUUCCACUUUGAUUCAUAACACCAAGGCCUGACUUCAGUCCAGCAACAUUGGUUACCCUCACGUUUUACAGCAGGGCAAUCCAUAACACCUUGACACAAAUGGAUCCAUGUAUAGACAUGGGUUCUGUGGCCUGGGUCCAGGAUUCUCGGGAGAUUUUCAGGAAUCACCUUUCACGUUGUGUCGGGUCGUACAAAGUAGACCUUACAGAGGUCUGAUGCCACAUUUGCACUUUGAGCAAAAACACACAGUUACUUUAAUCACCCUCGAAAUACCUAUCUGUAGUUGUUUUAUUCAAUUAUUUUUUGUCUUAUGCAUAGAACUUGGGCAGCUCAACUUGAGUGUUGAUACCUACAAAAUUGUAAGGCUAUGGUCACAUGUGAUGUUGCUGUUGCUUCGAGAGGAAGCAGUAAAUCUUUAUUGGAAUCCAGGGUUCCUUUGUGUGUCCACUGAUGUUUCUCUAUGGUAGCCAGGAAGACUUGUUUGUGCUGGGCUGGUAAUAAUACAAGAGGUAACCCCAGGAAAGUUUCUGCACAGUGAAGUUGUGCCAGUAGAGCUCCAGAAAAAUGUGUCUCUCCUCUGACCUUUAUUUAAAGAAGGGACAACAAGCGCCUUGACUUCUUUCCCUUUCCUCCUUAGGGAAGACAUUCUUGCAGGUAUCAAGAAAGGGAGCCCUUGCUUCCCUGGAAGACAUUUCGUCCUAGCAAUCCCUCUCCAGUUUCAUAUGACCAUUCCUACUCUGAGCCAGUUUUGGAAAGGAGGGUUUCCAAAGUGCCUUUCCACGCUAGAACCCAGGUUGUGGUCUGCUGGCCGGACACAACAAUUGGCAAACCAACGCGGGACUGAGAAACGGCAAAGGAUUUUUGGAAGAGACGCUGCUGGUUCGGAGCUCCAUAAAAUAAAGGAUAAAGGAAAUUCAUACCGGAGAAGGUAUGGGCUAAGCUGAGACAGCGUUAAACCCUAGCGCUGGUUCACUUAGGUUCAGUAGUGAGGAGCUGGGUAAUAGGCGGUAGGCUGUAGCUCUCUGAAGCUACAUGAGGCGUGAGAAAAGAAAGGGUUUAUUAAAAGGAAUAUGCGGAUUGCCCCAGUUAAUAAAAAAUGCAUCAUAAGGGAGGAAAAUGUCCCAAAAAGCAGAGAGAAAUUUCUCUCUGGGCCUUAUAGCAGGAGUACUCUGUUCCCUUUUGUGUCUUGUCUAAUGUCCGGUGCACCAAUCUGUUCUUGUGUUCAAUUCAUGUAUGUUCGUGUCCAGUCUGUAUGAAUGAAUGUUCUAUGUUUUAUGUUGGAUAAUAAAGAUGGUAUAAAAAACUUUAUCUGCAAAGCCAAGAGCUGCCACGUGUUUCAGCCAGGAAUCAGACACGUGGCGGGAGGGCCCCUGCUAGAAAAACUGUUCGUUUUAGGAAAUAAGGGCGAGUGCACAGCCUCUUAGUUUCGGAGUAAAAAAGCUAAUAAAUGGUUCAUGAUU